AAUAUACAUUUGUACCGAAGACAGUAGGAGUGACUUGUCACUUAAUAUCCUACCGAGGACACGUAAAUUCAGAUUCUAAUUAGAUGAUGACUUUCUGCCUCUGUGUCUAUCCGUAGAUCAGAGGCUUUUCUUUU
rnacentral:sRNA from 1 species